UUGUACACCAAGAUAACUUUUACCUAUUUUUUUGUAACUUUAACCUAGUUUUGAUUAACUUUUAUAUUAGUAAAAAAAUGUAGAUAGAUAAACAUUUUAAAGAGUUAAAUGAUUAAUUUUAUAAAUUAUUAGUGAUUUUGAAGAAACAAUUUUUAUUAAAAUGAAAAAAUUUAUCAAUAAAAAUUGGAUAACUUUUACAUAUAUAAGUUUAACUUUUAGACAUUUUGAGUUAACUUUUACUUUGGUGUACAAUAUUUAUUGUACAACCAUUGUAAAUAAGAAUUUGUGUUACCACUUCCACUUUACCAUUAUCAAAUUAUCAUUCAUUUCUUUAGCUUCCGAGACUCUGAGUUCCGCCUUCCUGCUUUCCUAAUGAACUCUCCAUAACUCCAUAUUCCCAUGAUCUCAAUUCUCAAACCAUGAUUUCAUUUUCCAAUCACCUUAUAUAUUUAAUUUAUAACUCCCUAAAUUCCAACAUCUCAAACCUAAAUCCUAAAUUCCCAAUAUCAAUCCCAAAUGUGAAAUUAAUUUCUCAAAAUCAUCAUGCAACAAGAAGAUCUGAAUAAUCCUAACUUUCAUUCUUCUACAGAAAGUACAGAUGGAAAUACAAAUCAAAAUUGACCAAGAGGCGAGGCGGCAAUUUCCUUAGAGCGAGUACCGGGAAAGAGGAAGAGACCUUCAUGGGUCUGGAAGCACUUUGAUAUUCAUAUUGAUCAGAAUUCUAAAAAGCCAAUUGGAAUUUGCAAGUACUAUAAGUCUGCAAGUUAUAAUGCUUCCUCACGUUCUGGUACAUCUAAUUUUAGUAGACAUUUAGAAACUUGUAUCAAUUAUAAGAGUGCACAUGAAAAUGAAAAUGAAAAUGACAAGUCUGGAAAGCCAAUUGAUCAAAAUGUCUACCGUAGUAGGCCAUUAGCAGAGGCUAUAAUGAUUAAUGAGGCAUGGGUAUUCUUUUUCUUGGGUGGAACAUGAAAAUAAUAGAAAAAUCCAUAAAUAUCUUAAUGACAAUGUUGAACCAAUAUCUAGAAAUACUGCUAAAAGGAUUUGGAUUUGGAUUUGGAUUUGGAUUUGCUUAGAGUUACAUGUUGAUUUAAAGGAGAAGAUUAAGAGUGUCUUACUAGGGGUUCCUGGAAGAAUAUGUCUCACUUCUGAUAUAUAUAUAUAUAUCGGUUUUUUCAUGAAAUGCCCCCGAGGUUUGCAAAAACGCACCAAAUACCCUCGCGUCUUUUGAAUCACAUAAUAUACCCCUAUUUUUGCGUACUGUUCAUGAGAUGCACCUUUGAGUUAACGGCGUUAGUCUGCCGUUAGUCGUGUUUUACUAUUUUACCCUUAAUACGUAUUUUUCGACAUAAAUUCCAAAAAAAAAAAAAUAUCUCAACUUCUUUCUCUUUCUCUUUCUCUCUCCUCUCCGAUGUUCUUCCUCCUGCUCUCUGGUCGCCGGCGGCGUCCGACUCCUGCUCUCUGACCGUCGACGAAAGUCGAUCCUCUCCUUCCCCUUUCCGACGUCCUUAUUCGCCGCUGUCGAAUUUGCCCGUCGUGAGGUUCCACUCUCUCCUUCUCUCCUUGACUAGAUUGGAAUUGCAUUUAUUGAUUUGUGUUGAAUGUUGUUGCCGUCAUUGUUGUUGGUUUUUGUUGUUAUUGUUUUCAAUUUUCUGGUUGUUGUUGUUGGGAAUUCAUGGACUAUUAGAGUAAAUUUAUUGUUUUUUUCGAAUCAAAACAUAAUCCAUUUGCUGCUAUUUAUUGAUUUCAGUGUUGAUUGUUGUUGUUUUUUCUUGCCAUUGUUGUUGUUGCUGUCAAUUUUCUGGUUGUUGUUGUUGUCGGUGGAAGUGAUAGACUAUUAGAGUAAAUUGCUUCAAGUUCGUCUCAUUGUUUAGUUGGUUGAAAAUUCAUCAAUUUUCAUUGAAUUAAUGUAUUUAAGGAACGUUAUUUGAGGAGAGUGAGAGAAUUGUUUUUGGGUUUUCAACUAUGGUUCCAAAUUUGGAGUUUCGGUAUUCUCAUUUCUGUGAACAAGGGUUGAAUUAGUUUUGUUCAUGAAAAAUUGCACUUCUUACGGUGACCUGUGAUUCUGUAGCUCAGUAGAUGACUGGGGGAGUGCAAUUUCCAUUAUACACUGCUCUAGCUACACCCAAGGCUACUUUUUCUCCCCCAAAUGAACAGGUAAUAGCUGUAGGUUCAUGGAUGUAUAUGAGCACUCUUGAACCUUUGCUAUAUUCCUGAAGAUGAAAUAGUAGAGUUAGCUACUUGGCUUCACAACACAUGUUUGAUAAGGCUAAAAGUUGGGUUGUUAAUUACAUGUGUAUGAGAAAAUAUGUUGAUCGGACUGACUUUAUAACUGAUCAAUAUGCAAAGUUUAAAGAAUAGUGGGUGGAUAUUGUUAAGUUCAAUAAAGUUGAACCAAUAUGGAACUACCGAAUUAUUGAGACUAAUUUUGAUGAUUCUUUGAGCUUGAUUUCUCUUAUGUUGCAAGAGAAUAUUUGUUUAUAUCAGAAUAAUACCUUCGUGAAAAUUUUGUACAAGAUAGAACCUGCUGUGAGGCUUUCAGUAGAUGCUUGAGGUUGGUGCUAAUGGUACUUUUUUGUGUGUUGCAGUGCCGCACCUGCUGCAAGAAUGUGUAUGACUAGUAUGCAUUUGUUUAUGCAUUUCUUUUCGCUCAGAAGGUUUCUUAGGUUCACGUUUCGCAGCCCAAGCUCGAAGAGGAGGUUCAAAGUGUUUGCUGGCAACAUCAGGUGGAGGUAAAUCUUGGCAAGUACAAGAAGACAUUUCUCCCUAAGCAAAGAAGGCUUGUUGUAACAAGUGUUCCACAAUGAAUCAACCAGUUACCUAUCAAGUUCCUCGAACAGUUGCAUCAAGUUCAAUUCAAUCAAUUUCUUAUUGGAUUUGUUGUUUGAGCAUCUCAAUUUUCUUUGAUUAUUACUUCUAUUUCAUGUUUUAGGUUUAACUUUUUGGUUGAUUAAUUUGAUUAAUUAGGUGAA